UCCACUUUGUGUUCCAGAUGCAUAUAAAUG
rnacentral:piRNA from 1 species